UUGCCAUACCCCCCAUUCCCAACUUGUGAAAAAAGGAACAAUGUGGAGGAGAGUAUUUUCAUGGCAGCUCCAACAUAGAGUCCCCAAAUGGGGCGUUAUUACUUGUCGAUCUCUCAACUCUUCACCUUCUCCCUCCGCUACGACGUCGUUUCAGCAACCCACUACCCUCUUCUCCGACCCCGAGUUACUACCGAAGAGAGUUGAAGAUUUUAUGCCAAUUGCUACUGGACAUGAGCGUGAAGAACUUGAGGCUCAACUUCAGGGCAGAAACAUUUUGGAGUUGAAUUAUCCAAUUGGCCCAUUUGGUACCAAGGAAGCACCUGCAAUUGUUAAGUCUGUCUAUGACAAAAGGAUAGUUGGAUGCCCUGGUGGUGAAGGAGAAGACGAGCAUGAUGUGGUCUGGUUUUGGUUGGAGAAAGGGAAGCCUCAUGAGUACCCCGUGUGUUCUCAAUGCUUCAAGCUAGAUGUUGUUGGGCCUGGAGGGCCUCCUGAUGGGCAUGGAGAUGACCAUUAAGUUGAGUUAUGGGUUUUGCCGUCAGAAUAAGCUCAUUUGAGGAUGAGAAGAAUAUUAACGGGUGGAGAAACAAUUGUUUCUUACUUCAUGAAGAGGAACUUUGUUAAAUAUCCUGUAGGUUGAGAAUCCAAAGAUUGGAGGCCGUCCGAAAUUGUCAUUAUAUAGUUAAAUUGAAGGCCUGAUGUCCCUUAGGGGUCCACAAAGGAGUUGAAUUGUCUGACAGCAAGAACAAUAACAACAAACCCAGUGUAAUCCCUCAAGUGGGGUCUGGGGAGGAUGGUGUGUAGGCACACCUUCCCCCUUUGUUGAGAAGGUUGAGAGAUUGUUUCCGAUAGACCAUCGGUGAGUUGAAUCAUCUGAAAAAAGAAGAAAAAAUGGCAAGAGCAGGGGGGACAAUUGCUGAAUGCCUUUCUGAAUUGCAGUCUGAAUCCCAUGAGAAUCGGCAGAAAGCUCUGCUAACCUUGGUUUCAAUCACAAAGGUGAGCCCUCAAAACCGGAACUUGUUAGCGCAAGCAGAAGGUGCCGUUUCUACCUUGCUGAGCCUAUCAUCUAUGUCUUUGUCAUCAACUACUACACAACUUCUCGCGCUCUCCAUUCUCUUCAACCUCUCGCUCAAUCCUAAUCUCAAGCAGUCUCUAUCAGACAUGGACAAAAUCCUGUUUCUCAACUCAGUUAUCCUAUCUUCAACUUCAGCUGAACCAAGUAGGAUAGCAGCUUCACUUCUCUGCAGUUUGGCAAUGCUAGAUAAGAACAAAGCAAAAUUCGGGGUGGCUGGAACCGUUGAGGUUCUCAUAAAGGCUAUAUCGAGACCACGAGGCCCUGCUUCCCAUCACUUCCUGAGCACAUUGGCUGAACUGGUGCUGUUUCACGGGAAUUGCACGGUGGCUGUCCGAGCAGGGGCAGUUCCGGUGCUGAUCAAGUUAGUUGAAAAUUCUGAUUGUGAGGAUCUUGCUGGAACAUCAUUGGCAAUCCUCUGCUUGCUUGCAAGGUUUGAAGAGGGACUAACUGCUUUGAAAGAGACAGACCAAAUUGUGCCAUUAAUGAUGCAAAUUUUGAAGGGAAAAUGCAUGUUGAGUAAAGAGGGAGCUGCUGAUAUUCUACUCCGUUUAUUCGACGAAAGUGAGAGAUGCAUAAGUGAUGCCCUGAGGGUGCCUGAGUUUUCAUCUGUGCUAGCUGAUCUUUCUGUUAGAGGGUCGGUGAGAGCACGAGAGAAGGCUAGCUUACUCAUGAAGAAGCUAAUGGAAGCUAACAUGGAUAUUGUUUAUGGCGAUAUUGGCAAUAAAACGGCAACAUAUUUGCAAUGGUAGUCCAACAUAAAGUCCGUAGAUGUAGAUUUAGGAUUUAAAUUUUGACGAGUUCAAUAUUUAUGUUCUCGCCACUGAAUUUAUUGCACCUUUGGAAUUAUUGGAUCAAAACUUAAAACUUAGUAUU